UGAGAGACACGAAAUUGUGCCGGGAUGAGAGUACAGAGGUUCGGGAACAGGAAGCUGAAUCAGGAAUACCUGUUGCAACAGAGUCCCAAGACAAUUUUCAGGGAAUUGACUCAUAGUACACAAAGAAAUCAAGGCUGAGUGUGAACGGGCCCGACACAGUCUCGAAAGCUAGGAAUAGAUGUCAAGAUCGAGUGUGUGUGUUCUCCCCAGGGGAGCUAGGGCUGCUCAGGGGAACUAGAAGAGGUGGAUCCAAGACCUUGGCGGGACUUAACCACUACCUGCCCAGAUAACUGCUGACAGGACCUGCUCCCCUCUACCACCUGGCUUUUCACCCUUCAUCAUGUAAAAACCUUCUUAGGUGCAGUAUCGCAAACCUAAGGCAUUGGUAUUUGAGCAAAAAAGAGAUGUUCCAGGAAGGGAAGCAAGCACUGGAGCAGUAUAAGAGGGAGAGAGGAUACUGUAAAGAUUAAGCCUCUGAUCUGUUGAUUUACACUCAUGCCAUGUCCUUUUAUCAGAGAUCAAGUGCCUUGGCAUAUCUCAACUUCAAUAUUAUUUUGUACAUAACUAGGAAUAGCUAUGUUUAAAAUUGCUUAGAAAGAUUAAUGAGAUUAAAAUAAAUGUAUACACACACCUACCAGUGUAUAUAUGUGUUGUUUUAAAUCAACUACUUGACAAGCAGUGAGUGUACCAGAGCUAUUACAUGUGUACUGCUGCAGAAAGAUUCCAACUCUGUUGCUAGGCAUCUGGGGUAGGUAAAACAAAGUUAUUCCUAGGGUCCCAGGCUCUGCACAUUAAUCUCAAUAAACAAACUGGAGUCUCAAUCUGCAAUUCAACGGAGAACUCGAUUCUGUAUGUAAAACUGGUAACUACCUUGGUUUGUUUCCUUGGUCAAACAUGUACUCAGGGAAGCACAGGAGAACAGAGCUGUGAUUUACCAUGCCUUUUCUCAUAAAGAAGCCAAAGAGCAUGAUGUACAGGGUAUUACAGUCCUGUGGAUGAGAGUGAGUAGUGCCUGAGAUGCACUUCACGCUUUCUGCCUCAAGGAGGACUGGAGCAGACCUCUCCAACAGCAGCUACAUGGAGGCCACAAGGCUGAAAAGCAAGGAAAGAAGAUUGUGGUGCUCAGUAUCAGAUUUCCUCCUCCUUGACCUGCCUGGAACCACCAGGCAAUUUCCCCUAGUUCUGGAAUGGCUCAUUUCCCUAACAACCCCAGCUCCCUUCCACUUCAAGCUAGUCUUGUGGUCAUGACUUAUUAAAUAACCUGUAUCAUCCAUUUCUCAAGCUUGCUUCCCUACAAGGAUUAGAGAAGCCUUGCAUUACAAAGGAUUUUGAAUGCUCAAUAGAGUUACCUCAGAGAACAGGACAGGAAGUCAGUGUUUGACCUGGCUACAGUGUAGGACAGUGUCACAGUUAGCAUGUGAGUGUUACUUUCAUAUCUUGGCAGUUGUGUAUAGAAAACACUUGGAAGACAAGGGAUUUGUAACCUAGAUCAGCAAAAAUGGUGGCUCUCAGGAACGGGGUAUGAGGGCCCUGGAGUCAGAGAACAGAACAGUAAACCACACCACCAUGUUUCCGAGCAGGAGCUGGGAAGCCAGUGGGCUGAGGCCUUUGUGAGGGCCUUCCUGAAGCAGAGCAUCCCUCACUGGAGCCAGCAAGACUGUGAGAGCCAUCUGCAACACAAGGCUGUGGUCUUGGAGUUCUUGUUUCAAGUUUGAGCCUGGUGUUCUUGACUCUCUGACCCUGGCUUUGUGUGAACAGGCACCAAGACAAAUGGUAAUAGUCCCAGGGAAAAUCUUUUGGUACUCUCCCUUCACUUUCUGGACAAUCCCACUACUUUACAUGAGGACCUGCUUUGCAAGUCUGCUAAACUUAUUCCUGAUAAUUCAGAAUUAACUUUAUUAUUUGUACAACCACAAUAGGCAAUCCAAGAAAGGACUUGCCCACUUUAUAUUACCCACUCAUACUGGGUUGCCUGGACCAUUAGCAAAAGGAAAUGAAGAAAUUGAUCAAUUACUGGUAGGAAAUGUAUUGGAAGCCUCAGAAUUUCACAAGAAACAUCAUGUUAACAGUCGGAGCUUAAAGAAAUGUAGAUGAAUUUCUAAAUGGUCUUAUUAAAUAAAACACAAAGCCAGAUAUAGGGGUGAAAGCCCGGGAGAGAUCAGGGAAAUAGGAAAAGUCACUGCUAACCUUACUCACCAACUUGACAGCUUCCAAAUGCGAGUUACUUCCUGUCUACCCACACCUUGCUGUUCUGCCAUCUGAUUUGCUCUCUCCAUUCAACUACAUCAUUUUCUCAUCCUACCCAGCUCUGUCAACUUCCUCUCUGUCUGUACAGGCCUCCACAGUUAUCUAGUUUUAGAAUUUAUGGCGUGUGCCACUACACCUGGCUCUGUUUCCAGUAUGGCCUUGAACACACAAAGAUCCUGCCUACCAAGUGAUAGGAUUAAAGGCAUUGUCUGACUUCUUUGUUACUUAAAAUGGCUUGCUAUUUCAUCUGAUCUCCAGGGAAGCUUUAUUUAUUAAAGCACAAAUAAAAUAUCACCAUAUUUCAGCACAAAUAAAAUAUCACCUCAAAGAA